UUGGUUCAUACAAAAAACAUGUAGCCGGAUAAUAAAAAUGUUGAUUCAUUAUAAAGUAUAUAUAGCCUGAUAAAUACAAGUAUGUUCGAUAAUGUAUUUGUAGUUGUCUAGCUGCUAUGUAAGUUCAUAUCUUAAAUCUGAGCAUUUUCUUUUCUGCUUUAAGCUUCUCAUCUUCCUUUCCAACAUUUUCAGGAGUUGAAUUAGGACUUCGCUUGUUGGAUUUUAACAUAUUCUCUAUAUCUUUGCACAUGAUGAGUCCUCACAGAAAAACCAGAAUCAUACAUAUUGAAAAUAUUCAGUUUCUACAUGCUCCAGUUAUUCAAGUGUUGCAGCAAUUCUGGUAUGCAGAGUAGGUGAGAGAAUCAGGUCUAGCGAGCUCCAAUCAAUGAGUUCCAUCCACGGGUGGUGAGAGAGGCCGUGGCGGAGAGAUGAGAUACAUGAGAGGGAUGUGCAGAAAGCGUGAGAGUUGAUUUGUGUUGCGGUUGAGUGGCUUGUUGGUUGGUGGUUGGGAACGUCGCCGGAGAAGAUAUUGGUGUCGUCGUCUCUCUCAUCACGCGUAAUCAUUAAAGAGAAAUAAGGUUUUCGCAAAUAUUAUUACAUAUUAGGCUUCGAUAUAUGAUAAGGGUAGUAAGGCCAUUAAAAAAAAACACGUCACUCCAAAAGCC
rnacentral:lncRNA from 1 species